rnacentral:rRNA from 1 species
UACGUAGGGUGCAAGCGUUAAUCGGAAUUACUGGGCGUAAAGCGUGCGCAGGCGGUGAUGUAAGACAGAUGUGAAAUCCCCGGGCUCAACCUGGGAACUGCAUUUGUGACUGCAUCGCUGGAGUGCGGAAGAGGGGGAUGGAAUUCCGCGUGUAGCAGUGAAAUGCGUAGAUAUGCGGAGGAACACCGAUGGCGAAGGCAAUCCCCUGGGCCUGCACUGACGCUCAUGCACGAAAGCGUGGGGAGCAAACAGG